rnacentral:rRNA from 1 species
AUUGAACGCUGGCGGCAGGCCUAACACAUGCAAGUCGAGCGGAUGAAGGGUGCUUGCUCCUGGAUUCAGCGGCGGACGGGUGAGUAAUGCCUAGGAAUCUGCCUGGUAGUGGGGGAUAACGUCCGGAAACGGGCGCUAAUACCGCAUACGUCCUGAGGGUGAAAGUGGGGGAUCUUCGGACCUCACGCUAUCAGAUGAGCCUAGGUCGGAUUAGCUAGUUGGUGGGGUAAAGGCCUACCAAGGCGACGAUCCGUAACUGGUCUGAGAGGAUGAUCAGUCACACUGGAACUGAGACACGGUCCAGACUCCUACGGGAGGCAGCAGUGGGGAAUAUUGGACAAUGGGCGAAAGCCUGAUCCAGCCAUGCCGCGUGUGUGAAGAAGGUCUUCGGAUUGUAAAGCACUUUAAGUUGGGAGGAAGGGCAGUAAGUUAAUACCUUGCUGUUUUGACGUUACCAACAGAAUAAGCACCGGCUAACUUCGUG